GCAGUGGUGGUUCAGUGGUAGAAUUUUUGGCUCCGAUGCAGAAGACCUUGGUUUGAUUCCGGACCAAUGUA
rnacentral:tRNA from 1 species